AACAUUUGCUAUUUAUUGAUGAACAGCAUGCCCAACCCCUGAAGUUCGACAUGGAUUUGCAGUUGGCCCCUACAAUGGCACAGUGUACUACACCUGUGAUGAAGGCUAUAAGCUUUUCAGCAAAGGCUGGUGGGCUGAGGCCAAAUGUAAUGAUGGCGAGUGGUCUGGAUUUGAACUAUGCAUCGAAAAUGAAAAGUGUGGAAAGAUUCCUGUGAUUCCUAAUGCGGAUGUGACACCUCCACGUAGAGAAGACCAAAGCUACAGGAUUACCUGUAAGGAAGGGUACACCGCUCAGGUUGAACGCUUUACUUGUCGCCAGGGAAAAUGGCAUUUUGGUGGAUUUUCCCUCAAAACAAUCUGUACACCAAAUGCAAAUCUCU